AGAUCUGAUUCUGAAUUUUGCCUAGCUCCCCGAACCCUCGAGACCGACUUCUCUGCUUCCGGACCAGACGACGUAGCCGACGGCGGAGGUAGAAAGGAUGGCGGCGGCGGCGGGGGAAGGCGACAGCGUCGCGCCGGAGACCACCAGAGUGGAAGCGGCUUCUGAGCCACAACGGCGCGUCGCCACCCGCCAGGGCUUCAGCCCCGGGCACAUGUCGUUGGAGAAUUGCGCCUACGGCAUCGCCAAGGCUCUCAAAAAUCCGACGGUGCGGUUCCUGAAGGAGCGGAUGGAGAAGGACGGAUGCCCAAUGUGGCCGGGGCUCAUGAGGGCGGCAUUCUGCUCCAGUUCCGGGGGCUACGCGUCCAACCACGGGGUAAGGGUUUGCUGUAAUCACAUGAAAACUCAAGAUCAAAUAGAGCAGGUCAUAAUUCAUGAACUAAUACAUGCUUACGACGAUUGUGUCACCAAGAACGUCGACUGGAACAACUGCGCUCACCAUGCUUGUUCUGAGAUUCGUGCUAAUCACCUUAGUGGCAAUUGCCAUUUCAAACAAGAACUGUUGAGAGGAAUUAUGAAGAUCAGGGGGCAUGAGCCGGAAUGUGUCAAAAGACGUGCUCUGCUAUCUGUCAACCUCAACCCUAACUGCUCGGAGAAAGCUUCAGAAGAUGCAGUUAAGGCUGUGUGGGAUAUAUGCUACAAUGACACACGGCCAUUUGACAAGGCUCCAUGAAGUGCAAGUGUGUUCGAAAAUUCCUAUUAGAGCACGAGCGACAGCACGCUCGAUGGGCAGAAAGGAACCUCAAAAUUAAGUAUUGAAAAAAUCGAACCCCUUUGGAUAGGCAUUUAGAAUAAUGGAAGUCUGAUGAGAGUUACUUCAUCAAGACCAUUGCCUGCAUGUCGAAUUACAAUUGGCUUAGAGUUUGAAUACUCUCUUCGACCCAUAUUACUUGUUGAAAUACUACAUGUGGAGUAUUUAGACAUUUUUUAAACAUAGAUACAUCAUACAUCCAUGUUUGUGCAAAUUUGAGACAAAUAAUAUGGAUCGGAGGGAGUA